rnacentral:rRNA from 1 species
UACGGAGGGUGCAAGCGUUGUUCGGAAUUAUUGGGCGUAAAGCGCACGUAGGCGGGUUUGUAUGUCGAUUGUGAAAGCCCCGGGCUCAACCUGGGAAUUGCAGUCGAAACUGCAGAUCUUGAAUACCUAAGAGGGUGGGAGAAUUGCUGGUGGAGUAGUGAAAUACGUAGAGAUCGAGAGGAACACCUGCGGCGAAGGCGGGUAGCUGGGCCGACACUGACGCUGAGGCGCGAAAGCUAGGGGAGCGAACGGG